rnacentral:rRNA from 1 species
CGGGGGGAGCAAGCGUUGUUCGGAUUUACUGGGCGUAAAGGGCGCGUAGGCGGCCACCGCAAGUCAGUUGUGAAAUCUCUGGGCUUAACCCAGAAAGGUCAACUGAUACUGCGGGGCUAGAGUGCAGAAGGGGCAACUGGAAUUCUCGGUGUAGCGGUGAAAUGCGUAGAUAUCGAGAGGAACACCUGCGGCGAAGGCGGGUUGCUGGGCUGACACUGACGCUGAGGCGCGAAAGCUAGGGGAGCGAACGGGAUUAGAUACCCCGGUAGUCCUAGCCUUAAACGAUGAAUGCUUGGUGUCUGGGGUUUUACAGUCCCCGGGUGCCGUCGCUAACGCUUUAAGCAUUCCGCCUGGGGAGUACGGUCGCAAGACUG